rnacentral:rRNA from 1 species
GACGAACCGUCCUAACGUUGUUCGGAAUCACUGGGCUUAAAGGGCGCGUAGGCGGACCAGCAAGUCCGGGGUGAAAUCUUUCGGCUUAACCGGAAAACAGCCUUGGAUACUGCUGGUCUCGAGGGAGGCAGGGGCCUGUGGAACUUCCGGUGGAGCGGUGAAAUGCGUUGAUAUCGGAAGGAACGCCGGUGGCGAAAGCGACGGGCUGGACCUCUUCUGACGCUGAGGCGCGAAAGCUAGGGGAGCAAACGGG